rnacentral:rRNA from 1 species
AACUCCUACGGGAGGCAGCAGUGGGGAAUAUUGGACAAUGGGCGAAAGCCUGAUCCAGCAAUGCCGCGUGAGUGAUGAAGGCCUUAGGGUUGUAAAGCUCUUUUACCCGGGAUGAUAAUGACAGUACCGGGAGAAUAAGCCCCGGCUAACUCCGUGCCAGCAGCCGCGGUAAUACGGAGGGGGCUAGCGUUGUUCGGAAUUACUGGGCGUAAAGCGCACGUAGGCG